rnacentral:rRNA from 1 species
UCUGGUAUUGAUUGGUGCUUGCAUCAUGAUUUACAUUUCCGUGAGUGGCGAACUGGUGAGUAACACGUGGGAAACCUGCCCGGAAGCGGGGGAUAACACCUGGAAACAGAUGCUAAUACCGCAUAACAACUUGGACCGCAUGGUCCGAGCUUGAAAGAUGGCUUCGGCUAUCACUUCUGGAUGGUCCCGCGGCGUAUUAGCUAGAUGGUGAGGUAACGGCUCACCAUGGCAAUGAUACGUAGCCGACCUGAGAGGGUAAUCGGCCACAUUGGGACUGAGACACGGCCCAAACUCCUACGGGAGGCAGCAGUAGGGAAUCUUCCACAAUGGACGAAAGUCUGAUGGAGCAACGCCGCGUGAGUGAAGAAGGGUUUCGGCUCGUAAAACUCUGUUGUUAAAGAAGAACAUAUCUGAGAGUAACUGUUCAGGUAUUGACGGUAUUUAACCAGAAAGCCACGGCUAACUACGUGCCAGCAGCCGCGGUAAUACGUAGGUGGCAAGCGUUGUCCGGAUUUAUUGGGCGUAAAGCGAGCGCAGGCGGUUUUUUAAGUCUGAUGUGAAAGCCUUCGGCUCAACCGAAGAAGUGCAUCGGAAACUGGGAAACUUGAGUGCAGAAGAGGACAGUGGAACUCCAUGUGUAGCGGUGAAAUGCGUAGAUAUAUGGAAGAACACCAGUGGCGAAGGCGGCUGUCUGGUCUGUAACUGACGCUGAGGCUCGAAAGUAUGGGUAGCAAACAGGAUUAGAUACCCUGGUAGUCCAUACCGUAAACGAUGAAUGCUAAGUGUUGGAGGGUUUCCGCCCUUC